rnacentral:lncRNA from 1 species
CUCCGGCCCCGCUCCGCCGUCAGCCCGCUCCCAGCCCGCCGCAGGCCGCUCCCCGCCGCCAGGCCCCGCUCCCAGCCUGCCCCGCGGCGGGGCGGGGCCAGGCCGCCAUCUUGAAAAGGUCGGUGGGAGGCGGGCCCGCUCGGUGAGGGCGCCGCCAUCUUGGGGAGGUGCGCGCGACCGGCGGCGAGGCGCCAUCUUGGGGAAGUGGCGUCGUUGCGGCGUGAGAUUGAAACACUUUCUGGAAAAGAGCCCAAUUUCUGCACGUCAGCAGGAAGACGGGAAGUCAGAGCCUUGGGAAUCACGAGAUGAGCGCAAAUCGGAAGUACUGGAGAUUGAUCCUCAGUUAAUACCUCCCUCAGCAGCACAGCCAGAGGUCUUUUGGAAGUCUGUGUGUGUGUUACAAUCCACUAGUAGAACUUUCCAGGCAGCUCGAGCGAUGAAGUAA